UACGGAGGACCCAAGGGUAAUCCGGAAUCAUUGGGUUUAAAGGGUCCGUAGGCGGUUUAUUAAGUCAGUGGUGAAAGCCCAUCGCUCAACGGUGGAACGGCCAUUGAUACUGUUAAACUUGAAUUAUUAGGAAGUAACUAGAAUAUGUAGUGUAGCGGUGAAAUGCUUAGAGAUUACAUGGAAUACCAAUUGCGAAGGCAGGUUACUACUAAUGGAUUGACGCUGAUGGACGAAAGCGUGGGUAGCGAACAGG
rnacentral:rRNA from 1 species